rnacentral:rRNA from 1 species
GACGAACGCUGGCGGCGUGCUUAACACAUGCAAGUCGAACGGUGGAGGGACCAGCUUGCUGGUUCUGGAUGUGUGGCGAACGGGUGAGUAACACGUGAGUAACCUGCCCCCUUCUUCUGGAUAACCGCAUGAAAGUGUGGCUAAUACGGGAUAUUCUGGGUCUGUCGCAUUGCGGGCCCGGGAAAGAUAUUGCUUCGGUGGGGGAUGGGCUCGCGGCCUAUCAGCUUGUGGGUGGGGGGGUGGCCUACCAAGGCGGUGACGGGUAGCCGGCCUGAGAGGGGGGAGGGUGACAGGGGGACUGGGAAACUGGCCAGACGACUACGGGCGGCAGCAGUGGGGACUAGUGCACAAUGGGGGCAAGCCUGAUGCAGCGACGCCGCGUGAGGGAGGGAGGCAUUCGGGGUGUAAACCUCUUUCGCCAGUGAAGCAGUCCUGCUCCUUGUGGGUGGGUUGACGGUAGCUGGAUAAGAAGCGCCGGCUAACUACGUG